AAUGAAGGUUCAUUGAUCCACUGGUCCUGGUCUACUCCUCCCCUGCCCUGCUCUCACACUACUGGCACCUAAUGCUAAGCACUAGGAACCUAUGCAGAGUUGGACUUGAGGUGUACAUCCCCUGUACAGGUUCUUCAAAUCUAGCCACCUAUGCACACUUCUCAGUGGACCAUGCCAGUUCUGUUGUCUCUGGGGAUCUCAGCGCAUACCCACAGUGCACAAGGUUAUUAUUCAUGUUAUUCACAAGUUCUGUGUUCAUGACAUACUCUCCAUUUUAAAAAGAAUUACCUUCUUUCUUCUGCAUCCAGAAGACAGUGAUAUGCAGCGAUAUCCUUCUCCAGCUGUAUUUUGUUGGACAGCAGAGUUUCACGAUCCCUCUGCUGCUGCUCAGUUUCUGCUCUAAUUUCUCGCACCUCUGCCUCUAGCUUGGUAAUGACCGAGCCUAGGUUCUGAAGUUCAAUGUCAUGCCAGUGUUUAGCAUCAUACAAUGAGUUCUCCAGACCCCUUUUCUACAUGAAACAUUAAUUAUAACAGUCAGAACAGAGUCAUAACUACAGAGAAUCUUUGUAGUAGUGUUUCAGCUAGACCUCGGUGAAUGGUUUGUGUGGGAAAUUUGAAACGGCCCUAAUCCUUUGCAUUUGAAUCUGCUGAAAUGGAGACCCCAAGAUACUGGGUGUUCUGUUCAUUAUAUAUUUGUAUUGUAUCUGUGCAUUGUGUCAAUGUGGACUGAUGAACUGCUUUGUCUGAGGCUAUCUCAGAGUUUUUCAAACUGUGGGGCUUGUCCCCCCUACAGGAGCAUGGAGGAACUUUGGGGAGGGCGAGUGGUCACGCCAGGUGGCUUGUGCCAGCCCCCUACAAUAGGGCCUGGACCAGCCCCCAUGGGGGGAUGGAGAGGGAGCAUUACCUCCACCCCCAACCCACCUCAGUGGGCCACCCAGCCUGUGGGUCAGGUUCAACAUCUGCUGAGGCUGUACAGAUUUCUGCUUGUGGCAGCCUCCAUGUCCACCCCUGGCUCCACCCCCAGAGACCUUCUCAGGCGCUCCCCCCCCCCAAAAAAAAACCCCAAGAGGGGAGGGGCAGGUAUUGGCCCUGCCCUAGCAGCACUGCCUGGCUGCAAGGUAGAAGCAGCCUGCCACUGAGGAAGCCUUGACUGUGCCAUUGCUAAGUAUCUGUAUAUUUCAAACUUACAGGUGUAGGUAAUUUACUUCAAGUUGUGUUAAGGCCUCUGUUAGGUUUAUUAGAAGGCUAUCAAACAUACUUUUUCAUGUAUCUAUUUUUGUCUGAGCUGUGGGGAUACAACCAAAAUUGCAACUCAAAGGGGGUGCUCAGCUCAAAAAGUUUGCAAACCAUUUGUUUAUCUGGUUACAAGGCACUACAAUUUGCUUAAUAUACAUUGUGCUCUAAAACACUAUGUACCCAAUAAUCUCAAUGAGGUUUACAAAUGUUAAUGAAUUAAAAGUGUUGAGGGAUAAAAUUUCAGAGCCUGAUUUUUUUAAGUGCUGGGCACCCACACCACCAGUUUAAUCAAUGGGACUGCGGGCGUAUAGGGAUUUAUUCUCACCAGGCACAUCAAGAGAGAAUAUGCCCUAAAAAAGCAUACUGAAUUUUGAAUAUAUUCCAGUGAGUAUACACCAGCUACUUACCAAAGUUCUUAAAGAUUCAGUCUCUGCUUGCAGACUCUGUAUUUUGCAGGCUGUUUCAUGGAACUCUGUUCUCAGGGAUUCCACCAGUUCUUCCUCUUGGGUUUGUACAGCAGGUGCAGAUUCUGUGGCUUGCUGACAACAGGUAAUAGUUGUCAGUCACAAAAUUCUUUAUUAAUAAUAAUAAUAAUAAUAAUAAUUAAUAAUAACUUACAUUCCUCCCAUCCCAUAAUGAAAGUAGUCUUUUGCAAUUUGGGGCUACUCAGAUUUUAAAUCUGUCAUUUAUAUUUUAAAUUCCUUUAACAGUUUUGGAUACUUUUAAGAGCAUAACCACCACAUUUUCUGUAUAUGUAUUGUAAAAUUGGUCUAUGCAUACAUGUAUCCAAGGAUACAUGCAUACAUUCCCAUCAGCAUGGUGCUUAGUGUUCAGACAAAUACAUUAAAAGUGACCUGCAAAGAGAAAAAUGGGGUUCUGGACUUUUUCCUCUUUAUGACGUAUUAUAUAAUGAAAGUUUUGGUAGGUUUUUUUCAAGAAAGUUUUGUGGAUUUUUCCCCCAUUUCAUUUUAUAUUAAAAAUCCACAGCUCUUCAACUCUGUCUUUUUUUUUUUUUUUUUUUUUUUUUAAGUGGAAGAUUGUAGGGUUCAUAGAAGACUGAAGAACUAAUAGGAUUAUGACAUUAAGACCAAUGAAGUGAGCAUGGCUGGCUAUUGCACCAAAUGCACUCCUGCUUGGACCACUGCUGAGCUUUUGGAUCUGAUCAGUAUAUGGGGAGAGGAGUCUAUUCAGUCGUAGCUGCGAUUGAACCAUAGGAAUCGGGAUGCAUAUGGGCAGAUUUCUCGAGGCUUGUGCAAAAAGGACUAUGAUCAGGACAUGCAGCAGUGCAGAGUGAAGAUAAAAGCAUACCGUAAGGCUCGGGAGGCAAACCAUCGCUCUGGUGGUGCACCUAACACCUGCUGAAUGCUAUCCUCGGUGGUGAUCCCACCUCCAUCGCCGAUUGCCCCAGGGAUACUGCGGAGGCAGCAGAAAGAGGGGGUAACCUAGAGGCUGAAAUUCUGGAUGAAAAAGUGGAGCUAGAAGAGGAUGUGGAGCUUCCAGUGGGGUCGCCCAGUGGGGCAGGCAGCCAGGAACUUUUCUCCACUUCAGAACUGCUCUGCGGGGAGCAGGAAACAGAUGAGACGCUGGUGCCCGAGACCUUGAGGAACACACCACGUACCCCUGCCGACCAGCUUUGGCAGAUAAGGAAGAAGCUGAGAUGCAGCAAAGAAGACAUGUUCUGGGACAUGCUGCAGCGUGCUGAGAGACAGGCCAAGGACAGAAAAGAGAAUGCAGCAUUUGCUAGGCAAGCAACAGAGCGGAUGAUAAAAGUGAUGGAGGAUCAGACAGAGCUGCUCAAGUUUUUGGUACAGCUGCAGACUGAGCAGAUCCCUGGUCGAUCUCCACUGCAGCAUAUGCACAUGCACAGUUCUUUGCCAACCCCAUCCCUGUGUGCUCACACAUUGCCUUUCACUUCACAGCACUCCACUGAGUUUCCCCAUCACUCCACCCCCUCUCACAGCAGGAGCUACACACAAUUGUGAGGUUUUACCCUUUUUAACAAUA